rnacentral:rRNA from 1 species
GUGAGUAACACGUGGGUAACCUGCCUGUAAGACUGGGAUAACUCCGGGAAACCGGAGCUAAUACCGGAUAGUUCCUUGAACCGCAUGGUUCAAGGAUGAAAGACGGUUUCGGCUGUCACUUACAGAUGGACCCGCGGCGCAUUAGCUAGUUGGUGAGGUAACGGCUCACCAAGGCGACGAUGCGUAGCCGACCUGAGAGGGUGAUCGGCCACACUGGGACUGAGACACGGCCCAGACUCCUACGGGAGGCAGCAGUAGGGAAUCUUCCGCAAUGGACGAAAGUCUGACGGAGCAACGCCGCGUGAGUGAUGAAGGUUUUCGGAUCGUAAAGCUCUGUUGUUAGGGAAGAACAAGUGCAAGAGUAACUGCUUGCACCUUGACGGUACCUAACCAGAAAGCCACGGCUAACUACGUGCCAGCAGCCGCGGUAAUACGUAGGUGGCAAGCGUUGUCCGGAAUUAUUGGGCGUAAAGGGCUCGCAGGCGGUUUCUUAAGUCUGAUGUGAAAGCCCCCGGCUCAACCGGGGAGGGUCAUUGGAAACUGGGAAACUUGAGUGCAGAAGAGGAGAGUGGAAUUCCACGUGUAGCGGUGAAAUGCGUAGAGAUGUGGAGGAACACCAGUGGCGAAGGCGACUCUCUGGUCUGUAACUGACGCUGAGGAGCGAAAGCGUGGGGAGCGAACAGGAUUAGAUACCCUGGUAGUCCACGCCGUAAACGAUGAGUGCUAAGUGUUAGGGGGUUUCCGCCCCUUAGUGCUGCAGCUAACGCAUUAAGCACUCCGCCUGGGGAGUACGGUCGCAAGACUGAAACUCAAAGGAAUUGACGGGGGCCCGCACAAGCGGUGGAGCAUGUGGUUUAAUUCGAAGCAACGCGAAGAACCUUACCAGGUCUUGACAUCCUCUGACAACCCUAGAGAUAGGGCUUUCCCUUCGGGGACAGAGUGACAGGUGGUGCAUGGUUGUCGUCAGCUCGUGUCGUGAGAUGUUGGGUUAAGUCCCGCAACGAGCGCAACCCUUGAUCUUAGUUGCCAGCAUUCAGUUGGGCACUCUAAGGUGACUGCCGGUGACAAACCGGAGGAAGGUGGGGAUGACGUCAAAUCAUCAUGCCCCUUAUGACCUGGGCUACACACGUGCUACAAUGGACAGAACAAAGGGCUGCGAGACCGCAAGGUUUAGCCAAUCCCACAAAUCUGUUCUCAGUUCGGAUCGCAGUCUGCAACUCGACUGCGUGAAGCUGGAAUCGCUAGUAAUCGCGGAUCAGC